rnacentral:sRNA from 1 species
GAGAUGAAUCAAUUCGAAAGCUGU